rnacentral:rRNA from 1 species
CAGUCGCCACGGGAAUACGGAGGGGGCUAGCGUUGUUCGGAAUUACUGGGCGUAAAGCGCACGUAGGCGGUUUUGUAAGUCAGAGGUGAAAGCCCGGAGCUCAACUCCGGAACUGCCUUUGAGACUGCAUCACUUGAACGUCGGAGAGGUGAGUGGAAUUCCGAGUGUAGAGGUGAAAUUCGUAGAUAUUCGGAAGAACACCAGUGGCGAAGGCGGCUCACUGGACGACUGUUGACGCUGAGGUGCGAAAGCGUGGGGAGCAAACAGGAUUAGAUACCCGCGUAGUCCCUGUCUCUUUACA